ensembl:piRNA 21ur-4651 ncRNA
GUAUACACAUUUAUGGUAUUC